GCGGGAAGAGCUCAAAUUUAUAAUCUGGCACCUUCGGUGUCCGAGUUGUAAUCUCUAGAAAUGUUUUCCGCGUUGGACCGCACACAAGUCUGUUGGAAUACAGCGGCAUAGUGGUGAGACCCCCGUAUAUGGUGCGGACGCCCAGCGCUUUGUGAUACAUUUUCGAAGAGUCGAGUUGUUUGGGAAUGCAGCUCAAAUUGGGUGGUAAAUUCCAUCUAAAGCUAAAUAUUGGCGAGAGACCGAUAGCGAACAAGUACCGUGAGGGAAAGAUGAAAAGCACUUUGGAAAGAGAGUUAACAGUACGUGAAAUUGUUGGAAGGGAAACGCUUGAAGUCAGACUUGCUUGCCGAGCAAUCGGUUUGCAGGCCAGCAUCAGUUUUCCGGGAUGGAUAAUGGUAGAGAGAAGGUAGCAGUUUCGGCUGUGUUAUAGCUCUCUGCUGGAUACAUCUUGGGGGACUGAGGAACGCAGUGUGCCUUUGGCGGGGGUUUCGACCUCUUCACACUUAGGAUGCUGGUGGAAUGGCUUUAAACGACCCGUCUUGA
rnacentral:rRNA from 1 species